rnacentral:rRNA from 1 species
AAGACCUUGCGCUUUUGGAGCGGCCGAUGCCUGAUUAGCUUGUUGGUAAGGUAAAAGCUUACCAAGGCUUCGAUCAGUAGCUGGUCUGAGAGGAUGGCCAGCCACACUGGGACUGAGACACGGCCCAGACUCCUACGGGAGGCAGCAGUGGGGAAUUUUGGACAAUGGGCGCAAGCCUGAUCCAGCCAUGCCGCGUGAGUGAAGAAGGCCUUCGGGUUGUAAAGCUCUUUCAGCCGAGAAGAAAAGAUUGCGACUAAUAAUCGCAAUUCAUGACGGUACCGGCAGAAGAAGCACCGGCUAACUACGUGCCAGCAGCCGCGGUAAUACGUAGGGUGCGAGCGUUAAUCGGAAUUACUGGGCGUAAAGGGUGCGCAGGCGGUUUUGUAAGUCAGAUGUGAAAUCCCCGGGCUUAACCUGGGAACU